UUAAUAGUCAUGUGACUUUUUUUUCUGCCAGCCAUGUGCUCCGUAUCAUUUUACUCUGAAAUAACUAUGCGGAUUUCAGCUCAACCUCCCUUUGCUUAUAAUGCAUGACAUACCCCGUGAGGGAGCCUGAGAACAGACUCCCUUGAAAAGCAAGGUUCUCAUAGUUGGCCUGUAACCAUGGAAGCAGAUGCCGUUUUCUUCUUACCCUGCUUACCUCUUUGCAGCCUCGAGCUGCUCCUUAUUGUUAAAAGGGGCUUAAUUCCAGAAAGGUGAACUUGAACUGCCUCGAGGUAAUUUCAGUGAUUUGUAAAAAUGGUAUUCUCAAGCACUGAAAUAUCCUUAAAAGCACAUAAAUUCAUGGUGGUUUAUGAAAGGCACAUGAAAUUACUAUGACUCGGCAAAGGGGAGGUCCAUAGCAGAAUAAAGAAGGUUAUUGUGACAGAUGAAACAUAAUUCACAAUGAGUACUCUUUUCAUCCAGCCUUAAGCAGCAGAGGAUUACUUUCAAGCUGAAUUUUAUGGCAGAACAUAUGAACUGAGUUGUUUUUUCUUUGUUUUUUUUUUUAACAUGCAAGGAUAGAGCAAAGACAGAAAAACUCUCUUCAAUUGCGUGGUGUUUAUUUUGUGUGUAUCUCUUUGGGGCUCUUAAUUUGUUUCAUCUAAAACAGAAGAUAUGCUGGCCAGCAGAGUCUGAUGCAACCGAGGGAGUAGAUUGGGAGGGUAGGAAAUAUGAAAUUUAAAGCAAUAAAAGUUGUGGUUUUCCUGUGUAUAUAAUGAAUGAUACAUGAGGAGUUAAAUAUAUUUCUACAUUUUUGGCAUACAUAUGAAAUAAAAAUGAUACUUUUUUCAACAAAUGCAUGAGCUGCAAAAGUAGGUAAAUUUUAUUUCAUAACAUACUUUUGUUUAGAUAACAAUUUGUAGUCUCAUAGUCUUUAUUAGAAGUAAUAUGUUAGAUUUUUGAUGCCAUUAGCUUUUAUAUGAG
rnacentral:lncRNA from 1 species